AUCCAGAUGACGAAUCACAAAUAGGAAGAAACGCGCGUCCUGGAU
rnacentral:hammerhead_ribozyme from 1 species